rfam:Ictidomys tridecemlineatus contig091293, whole genome shotgun sequence.
CAAAAGGCUCUUUUCAGAGCCCCUCAUUUAUCACUAAAAUGGAGCU